GGAGAGGUGCCGGAGUGGUUGAACGGGCUGCUCUCGAAAAGCAGUAGACUUUUACUAGUCACGGGGGUUCGAAUCCCUCCCUCUCCGCCA
rnacentral:tRNA from 1 species